CUGAGUACGGCGGAACACGUGAAAUUCCGUCGGAAUCCGGGAGGACCAUCUCCCAAGGCUAAAUACUCCCUAGUGACCGAUAGUGAACCAGUACCGUGAGGGAAAGGUGAAAAGCACCCCGGAAGGGGAGUGAAACAGUUCCUGAAACCGUGUGCCUACAAGUAGUUAGAGCCCGUUAAUGGGUGAUAGCGUGCCUUUUGUAGAAUGAACCGGCGAGUUACGAUUUGUUGCAAGGUUAAGCGGAAAAAGCGGAGCCGUAGCGAAAGCGAGUCUGAAUAGGGCGCAUAAGUAACAGGUCGUAGACCCGAAACCAGGUGAUCUACCCAUGUCCAGGAUGAAGGUAAGGUAAUACUUACUGGAGGUCCGAACCCACGCACGUUGAAAAGUGCGGGGAUGAGGUGUGGGUAGCGGAGAAAUUCCAAUCGAACUUGGAGAUAGCUGGUUCUCUCCGAAAUAGCUUUAGGGCUAGCCUCGAGGUAAAGAGUCAUGGAGGUAGAGCACUGUUUGGACUAGGGGCCCUUCUCGGGUUACCGAAUUCAGAUAAACUCCGAAUGCCAUGUACUUAUACUCGGGAGUCAGACUGCGAGUGAUAAGAUCCGUAGUCGAAAGGGAAACAGCCCAGACCACCAGUUAAGGUCCCCAAAUAUAUGUUAAGUGGAAAAGGAUGUGGGGUUGCUUAGACAACCAGGAUGUUGGCUUAGAAGCAGCCACCAUUGAAAGAGUGCGUAAUAGCUCACUGGUCGAGUGACCCCGCGCCGAAAAUGUACCGGGGCUAAACAUAUUACCGAAACUGUGGAUGAACCUCUUUAGAGGUUCGUGGUAGGAGAGCGUUCUAAGGGCGGUGAAGUCAGACCGGAAGGACUGGUGGAGCGCUUAGAAGUGAGAAUGCCGGUAUGAGUAGCGAAAGAAGGGUGAGAAUCCCUUCCACCGAAUAUCUAAGGUUUCCUGAGGAAGG
rnacentral:rRNA from 1 species